rnacentral:tRNA from 1 species
GGAAUUAUGCCCGAAUGCCCAAGGACCACUUUGAUAGAGUGACAGACGGGGGUUCAAAUCCCCCUAAUUCCU